GACAGAGGGGGCAAGCGUUGCUCGGAAUUACUGGGCGUAAAGGGCGCGUAGGCGGGAUGGCAAGUCGGUCGUGAAAUCCCUCGGCUCAACUGAGGAUCGUCGAUCGAUACUGCCGUUCUUGAGGAUUGCAGAGGAGACUGGAAUUCCCGGUGUAGCGGUGAAAUGUGUAGAGAUCGGGAGGAACACCGGUGGCGAAGGCGGGUCUCUGGGCCGAUACUGACGCUGAGGAGCGAAAGCGUGGGGAGCAAACAGG
rnacentral:rRNA from 1 species